GAUGAAGAACGUAGCGAAAUGCGAUACGUAAUGUGAAUUGCAGAAUUCAGUGAAUCAUCGAAUCUUUGAACGCAUAUUGCGCUCUCUGGUAUUCCGGAGAGCAUGCUUGUUUGAGUAUCAGUAAACACCUCAACUCCCUUUUCUUUUUUGAAAUGGGAGCUGGACUUGAGUGAUCCCAACACUUUUCUCACUGGAAAGUGGCGGGUCACUUGAAAUGCAGGUGCAGCUGGACUUUUCUCUGAGCUAUAAGCAUAUCUAUUUAGUCUGCCUAAAAAACAGAUUAUUACCUUUGCUGCAGCUAACAUAAAGGAGAUGAGUUCUUGUGCUGACUGAUGCAGGAUUCACAGAGACAGCUUUGCGGCUGACUUUGUAAACUCGAUCUCAAAUCAAGUAAGACUACCCGCUGAACUUAAGCAUAUCAAUGAGCGGAGGA
rnacentral:misc_RNA from 1 species